CUGCAGCCAAUUAAGCCGACUGUGCUCUUUGUCUGUGGGGGCCCAGUGUGCCAUGGCUGCAAACAGUAGCCUCCUCGGUAGUGUAUGCAGCCUGUUGAUUGUAUGUGUUGCCCUAAGGGACCUUGGAGACAGCC
ensembl:snoRNA SNORA70 Small nucleolar RNA SNORA70